UUCACUUCAUUAAAUAUUCCUACCAUUGCAUUCAUAAACAAUCAUUAUUUGUAUUCUAAUACACUAACACACACCCAUGCAGUGUGAAUUGAAAGAACAAGAUAAUUAUAAGCAAUUGUUUCGAAAACUAGGAUUAGGAAUUAGAUGUCCAGAAACCGAUUUUUCUGCCAAAACUUGUUCGGUCAUAAAAGCAGGCCACCACUGCGGUGUUAGAUCGACGUUUAAUAGCGGAAUUAAAGUCAAGAUUUUAAUAGCAAAGAACAUGCAGAGAUAUAGUCAAAAAGAUUUUGAACCAAAUCACUUGCAAAAGACUGAUAGGCAAAUCAUAUAUAAACGGCCAGCAACAGCAGCACUAUGCCACUAUACCAGAGUUUCGGGUGACUUAAGGCUAAUUUCCACUCAGGAAAAUUAUCUGCAUGUGGAUUGGAACGGACAAGAAAAUUUUUCUUUGUAUUAAACUCAUUAGUUCCAACCCAGAGCUCACAAGAGAAAGAAAAAUUUUCUUGUCCGUUCCAAUCCACGGAUAAUUCCUGAGUGGAAACUAGCCUUUAAAGCGCCACCAUUUCUCAGAAUAUAGGAAUAGAUUUUGCAGGACCGCUAAUCGCUUCUGAUGAGAUGAAAAAGGUAUAUAUCGCAUUGUUUUCGUGUGCGUCACCAGAAGCGUUUAAGACUUUAAGUGUUGCUUGCGGAAAUUUACAGCGCGGCGGGGAAUGUCUAAGCCAACAAUUUCAGAUAAUACACCGGACGCGAUUUGGCAAUGCGACGCGAAUUUUCAAUUUUCAAUGACAAUUAACUUCAAUAUUUUUUCCUAUGUUUUUCAAAUAUUCGGAACCACUUAAGCAAUUUUAGCUAUUUGGGUCUGCAUAUCUUGUAAACUUUUUAUCCUUUGAAGGUUUUAUUUGUUUUUAAAAACUGAAAAGUCGCGUCGCGUUGUCGAAUCGCGUUCGGUCUGUAUGGACCUUUAGUCAUAUGAUUUUGUCACAUGUGUUCUCAGACCGUAUUAAUUUCCGUUGACGUUAUUUGUGGUCAAGACGUAACCUAUUUAAUAUGAAUAAGUAUAUGGUAUAAUAUUUAAUAUGUGUAAAAUUACAUGAUAUUGCUUAUAUCAUGCAUGUAUAUAACACCUGAUAAUAUCAACAAGGUUGUUAUAAGUUGUUAACAGCUUGUUCCAAACUUGUUGAUAACUUGUGACAAGCAGUGCGAACACAAUUUGUUGACGGCUUGUUGGCAGACUUGCUACAAGAUGCGAGAUUUUUACUCAUGUAUUUUAUGAGGUGUGAUAUCCGCCAAAAUUCAUAUAUUCAAUUAUGCCAUUGGAAAUGCAUUUAUGAAGUUC